rnacentral:rRNA from 1 species
UACGUAGGGUGCAAGCGUUAAUCGGAAUUACUGGGCGUAAAGCGUGCGCAGGCGGUGAUGUAAGACCGAUGUGAAAUCCCCGGGCUUAACCUGGGAACUGCAUUGGUGACUGCAUCGCUAGAGUAUGGCAGAGGGGGGUGGAAUUCCACGUGUAGCAGUGAAAUGCGUAGAGAUGUGGAGGAAUACCGAUGGCGAAGGCAGCCCCCUGGGCCAAUACUGACGCUCAUGCACGAAAGCGUGGGGAGCAAACAGG